UAUCUCUCUUGGUGUUUUGUGGUGAGCUCAGCCGAAGGUAGAUGGCUGUUUGCUGUAUCACAUGGUUGUGAUCUUGCUCUUCCAAAAAUCCUGCUUCCUGGGAGUGACAGCUUUGGCUGCUUAAUAGAAACCAGAAUGCAAUGGGAGAAAGGGCAGGAAGAUGCUGUAGACAUCAGGCACCAACAACGCAGAGCUCCACAAAACAAAAGAAGACAACUCCAGCCCUCCAGGACCCAACCAGAGGACUGGGGGAACUGCCAUGAAAGAUACGGCUGCCAUUCAGGAGAUGGAUUUCUCUGUGAGACUCUUCUGUAAUUUCUCUGUACCUCAGCUGUACGCAGGGGACCUUGUAAUUUCUCUCCCAGUGGCUGAUUUUAACAACCUGAAAUGUUUUGUUUUAUUUUUACCCUGGAUGUCAUUACUUUUAAAAAGAGACAAGCUGUCCCAGAAUGGUGCAAUUAAAUUGUUAAACUGGCUAAUAGCUCAGCAGAAGCAGCCGGGCUGUGCUUUACCCUCCAUUACCAGCCAGCUGGAGAAAAAUGCUGAUACCAUUAAAUGGCAUUUUAAAAAUGA